UUUAAGCUUAAGAAACAAGGUGCAUUAUUUCUUUGUUCGUGCGUGCAAGUCAUUGAUUCAUAAAUCACCACCAUUUCUUCGUAACUCGCAAGUAACAGCACUUUCAUUUCUCGUUUUCUCUGUGGGACUCAUUUUCUUCUUCAUUAAGCUUUCAAAGGUAUCAACUUUACUCUAA